CCAACUUUUAAGAUGAUCCCUAACAGGAUUAAAGUCCUCCACAAGCAGGCAGAGGCAAGCUAUUCAGAAAAACAAGGUCAUGCUGCAUUUUUAUUUUUUUUUUGGUAAGCACAGGAAUCAACAAAGAGAUGUUAUAUAACUUCUAUUUAUAUCCCACUUGCUCACUAGCUGCAGGCACACACGAGUAGCUGAGGAGGGAAUUUAAUGAGCUCUCAGGGCUUGCUCACCUUCCAGAGCUGGUAGGAGCCAGCUUGUUUUUGAAGUGCGUCAGCAAAUGAAACUGGUGGUGGGUGGGUGGUUUGGGUAGGUGGACUGACUUGUUGCUAUGGUUUUCUUUAAUUCCUCUGUCUCUCAA
rnacentral:sRNA from 1 species